rnacentral:rRNA from 1 species
GUAGGUGAACCUGCGGAAGGAUCAUUACUUUAUGUGAUGUUCAAAUUUAAAUUCGCAAUGAAAUGAUCGUUGUGAAACGGCUGUCGCUGGUGUCUAAGUGUUGCUGAUACGGUUGUGAACGUCCGUGGCUGUAUAUGUGGUGACAUGUUAGGACUCUAAUGAGUUUAAGACCUAAUGAGCCUCUUAAGUGAGGCCGCCAGCAACCUUUUUUUUCUCUACAUUUUAAAAAAAAAACUAAAAUUCUACCCUUAUCGGUGGAUCACUAGGCUCGUGGAUCGAUGAAGAACGCAGCAAACUGCGAUAAUUAUUGCGAACUGCAGAAGUAUUGAGCACAAAAGUUUUGAACGCAAAUGGCCGCAUUGAGGUCAAACUCUUUGCAACGUCUGGCUCAGGGUCAUUUUCUCUUAUAGCGGAAGCUUUAAUUUCUAUAAUGAUGUUGUUGCUUUAUAUUUUAAAAGGAUUUUUGUUUAUUCAUGUAUUAAAUCUAACUGUGAAAAUCAAACAAUUUUGACCUGAACUCAGUCGAGAGCACCCGCUGAACUUAAGCAUAUCAGUAAGCGGAGGAAAAGAAACUAACCAGG